GUCGUGAUAGCUCAGUGGUAGAGCAUCGAACGCGCAAUUCAGAGGUCGUAGGUUCGAUUCCUGCUCACGGCA